rnacentral:tmRNA from 1 species
GGGGGUGUUUCAGAUUCGACUGGUGUGAAAGGGAGCGUUAAGCAUACCGAAGGCUCGGCUUCGUAAAAACGGAACUUAAAAAAUAAACGACAAUAGUCAAAAUUCUUACGCUUACGCCGCUUAGUGCGUAGCCGUCGGACCCCGUAUUCCGCGGACGGGAAUUCCGGCGUCAAUCACGCGGAAAAACGAGCCCGGGAGCGUUGCGACUCGGGAACGGGACUAAGCAACUAAGGUAUCGGGUAGUGAGUUCGUGGACGACCCCGAUCGACAAAAAACAACGGACUGAGUAUGGAGAAAGACGCUUUUAAUCUCAUUAGGACGCGAGUGCAAGUCUCGCCAUCUCCACCA